UGAUGACUCUGGAUAACUUUACUGAUCGCAGUCGGCCUUGUGUCGGCGACGGAUCUUUCAAAUGUCUGCCCUAUCAAUUUUCGAUGGUAGGUGAUUUGCCUACCAUGGUGAUAACGGGUAACGGGGAAUCAGGGUUCGAUUCCGGAGAGGGAGCCUGAGAAACGGCUACCACUUCCAAGGAAGGCAGCAGGCGCGCAAAUUACCCAAUCCCGGCACGGGGAGGUAGUGACGAAAAAUACGGAUACGGGACUCUUUCGAGGCUCCGUAAUUCGAAUGAGUACAUUUUAAAUCCUUUAACGAGGAUCAACUGGAGGGCAAGUCUGGUGCCAGCAGCCGCGGUAACUCCAGCUCCAGAAGCGUAUAUUAAAGUUGUUGCAGUUAAAAAGCUCGUAGUUGGAUCUGGGUCGCAUGGCUACAUGCCGUUGCUCGUAUUCCUGGCCUGGUUUACACUGGGACGGGUUUGCGAGUCGG
rnacentral:rRNA from 1 species